CCAUGCAUGAGAUACUUUUCUUCUAUCUUUCAAUGCAUAAGAUACCUUAGUUGUCUUCGUUAGUAGAAUAAUUGGUUCACAAUUCUUUUGCUUUCUUGGCUUUUGGAAUAAAACUUUUUGAUAAACAAGCAAGGGAUCAUUUCAAUAUGAACAUAUAUAGGAUGAUUACCCAAAUAGUCUUGGAUGCCAAUUAGGUCCUGAAUACUUUAAUUCUGCCAAUGUAGUUUUAUGCUUUUGCAGGAAUUUUUGAUGUCAUCCUUUCGACUGAUUGCAAUCGGAAAUUAUAGACGUGGAAACUCGAUAUUCUUCAAUUGCCGCUGCAAAUUCUAAUAUAGUCCUAAACAUCAUAAUGCUCAUUCCUCAAGUGCUGCGUGAAUUUUUGUUCUGGCCCAUCUUUUGGAAACUCGAGAUUGCUCGACUUGAGCAGCUUGUGUCUAGUCUAAUAAAACAAAAAAGAAAUCGUUGCCGCGUGUGUGAACAUUUCCGUCGGUGCAUCAUUCUAUAUAUACGAGUGCACGAAAACAUACCAUAUGAGAAUUCAAAGGAGAGGCAUAAUAGAGAGAGAGAGAGAGAGAGAGAGAGAGAAUGGCGGUUGCGGGAGUAGACGAGAAUUCUUUAGAGUACACGCCGACGUGGGUGGUGGCUCUAGUUUGCUUCAGCAUAUUGUUCAUUUCUAUCGUUGUUGAUAGAUUCAUUCGCUGCGCCGGCCAGGUGACUACUCUUGCUUCCUAAGGUCCGAGAGUACGGACCUCUCCUAAGCAUGUCAAUUACGAUGCCGGCAAUUCUUUAACUCGAGUUCCCAUGCAGUAUUUGGAGGAAAGCAAAUGGUGGCCGCUUGUCGGCGGCUCAAGGAAGAUCAAAGAUGAAUUGAUGCUAUUUGGUGUCAUAUCGCUUCUCCUGACGGUGUUCCAACCUAGAAUAGCGAAGAUUUGCAUAUCAAAGCGACUCAACAACGUCUUGCUGCCUUGCAAGAAGCCCGACUCUUCUUCUGCCGUCGCCAAUUUCAUUACUAGUUCCUCCGCUUCCAGUGCAACACAAGGACGCCAUCUCCUCGCCAUGGCUUCUCAUACCGCAGAUUACUGUAGCCAAAAAGGGAAGGUGGCAUUGCUGCCUGUUGAAGCAGUCCACCAGCUGGACGUUUUCAUCUUUGUGCUAGCUACCUUUCACGUGAUCCUCUGUGU